CACUGUGGCUUUCCUCACAAUCAUAUCGUGGUUUUCGGACGUUAAACCCCAGAUAUUAUUAUUAUGGAAUGGCGUUCUAAUUAAUUAUGCUCAGUUUAGGAGAGCUACUGCGAAUCUCUAUUUAACUUGCUAACAAAGAAGUGUAGUUUUCAUUGGCUAACAAUUAUGUAAUUUCUUCGAGGAAAUAUUGAGGCAUCAUAGUAUAAGAAAACAGGCUCCAAAAUCUGAUAUACAAUAUCAUAUUUCCUACACAUAUUUAAUUUAUUCAUGCACCGACUAGCCCAGCAAUGGAAUGUAUUUAAUGGCGCAAUGUAUGCAAUGUCUCUCCGAAUUUUCGAAUAGCUGUACACUAUUAUUUGAAGGGAAUGAUUUUGCUUCAUUUCCAUUAGCAAAUGUUAGCAGAGAUAAAAUGUUGGGCAGCUGUUGAAAUAGUUCACUUGUGCAUUUUCAGACACUUUCAUUUAAUACCAGUGCAACAGUUUUUGGCACGCAUGAAUCCUAACUGGACUUUUUCACGCAGGUGCAGCGAGUGCCUUUCCAGCUCCUUGAACCCCAUUCAGACAGUUUAACAGCUUCAACCUCCGCCUGUGCAUUCCCACAGACCGUCCACACUCUGCCUGCUCACUUUCAGUAAAAGCUGCAGUCAAGAUUAAAGUGCAAGCCAUAUCCAGACUUUCUACAGCCUGCAUGGCACAUCCUGCUGGGAAAGUUCCGUGUCUUCGGCAUCCCAUGAGCAGUACCAUUUACUGGUGUCUACAAAAGGUGGACUGCAUUCCUGUCGUCAGUGCAGCUAUGUGACCAA
rnacentral:lncRNA from 1 species